CCUACGGGUGGCAGCAGUGGGGGAUAUUGCACAAUGGGGGGAACCCUGAUGCAGCGACGCCGCGUGGGUGAAGGAGCGUUUCGGCGCGUAAAGCCCUAUCGGCAGGGAAGAAGAUGACGGUACCUGACCAAGAAGCCCCGGCUAACUACGUGCCAGCAGCCGCGGUAAUACGUAGGGGGCACGCGUUAUCCGGAUUUACUGGGUGUACAGGGGGCGCAGACGGCAAUGCAAGCCAGGAGUGAAAGCUCGGGGCCCAACCCCGGGACUGCUCUUGGAACUGGAUGGCUGGAGUGCAGGAGGGGAAGGCGGAAUUCCUAGUGUAGCGGUGAAAUGCGUAGAUAUUAGGAGGAACACCGGUGGCGAAGGCGGCCUGCUGGACUGUGACUGACGUUGAGGCCCGAAGGCGUGGGGAGCAAACAGGAUUAGAUACCCGAGUAGUC
rnacentral:rRNA from 1 species